CCUACGGGUGGCAGCAGUGGGGGAUAUUGCACAAUGGGGGAAACCCUGAUGCAGCGACGCCGCGUGAGUGAAGAAGUAUUUCGGUAUGUAAAGCUCUAUCAGCAGGGAAGAAAAUGACAGUACCUGACCAAGAAGCCCCGGCUAACUACGUGCCAGCAGCCGCGGUAAUACGUAGGGGGCAAGCGUUAUCCGGAUUUACUGGGUGUAAAGGGAGCGUAGACGGUUAUGUAAGUCUGGAGUGAAAGCCCGGGGCCCAACCCCGGGACUGCUUUGGAAACUGUGUAACUGGAGUACAGGAGGGGCAGGCGGAAUUCCUGGUGUAGCGGUGAAAUGCGUAGAUAUCAGGAGGAACACCGGCGGCGAAGGCGGCUUACUAAACUGUGACUGACAUUGAUGCUCGAAAGUGUGGGUAUCAAACAGGAUUAGAUACCCUUGUAGUC
rnacentral:rRNA from 1 species